rnacentral:rRNA from 1 species
GAUGAACGCUGGCGGCGUGCCUAAUACAUGCAAGUCGAACGCACAGCGAAAGGUGCUUGCACCUUUCAAGUGAGUGGCGAACGGGUGAGUAACACGUGGACAACCUGCCUCAAGGCUGGGGAUAACAUUUGGAAACAGAUGCUAAUACCGAAUAAAACUCGGUGUCGCAUGACACAAAGUUAAAAGGCGCUUUGGCGUCACCUAGAGAUGGAUCCGCGGUGCAUUAGUCAGUUGGUGGGGUAAAGGCCUACCAAGACAAUGAUGCAUAGCCGAGUUGAGAGACUGAUCGGCCACAUUGGGACUGAGACACGGCCCAAACUCCUACGGGAGGCUGCAGUAGGGAAUCUUCCACAAUGGGCGAAAGCCUGAUGGAGCAACGCCGCGUGUGUGAUGAAGGCUUUCGGGUCGUAAAGCACUGUUGUAUGGGAAGAACAGCUAGAAUAGGGAAUGAUUUUAGUUUGACGGUACCAUACCAGAAAGGGACGGCUAAAUACGUGCCAGCAGCCGCCGUAA